rnacentral:tRNA from 1 species
AAAGUCUUAAGAUUAAUAAAACUAGAGUCCUUCAAAGACUUAAUUGAUGGUUCAAUCCACCAGACUUUA